GGGGAUAAGCGGAAGAAAUUCCGUCUAAUACCGCGUAAUAACUCCGAGAGGCAUCUCCUGGGGUUUAAAGGGUAACACCGGCUACGGAUGGCCAUGCGGCGCAUUAGCUAGUUGGCGGGGUAACGGCCCACCAAGGCGACGAUGCGUAGGGGUUCUGAGAGGAAGGUCCCCCACACUGGUACUGAGACACGGACCAGACUCCUACGGGAGGCAGCAGUGAGGAAUAUUGGUCAAUGGGCGCGAGCCUGAACCAGCCAAGUCGCGUGAGGGAAGACGGUCCUAUGGAUUGUAAACCUCUUUUGUCGGGGAGCAAAAGACGCCACGCGUGGCGUUCCGAGAGUACCCGAAGAAAAAGCAUCGGCUAACUCCGUGCCAGCAGCCGCGGUAAUACGGAGGAUGCGAGCGUUAUCCGGAUUUAUUGGGUUUAAAGGGUGCGCAGGCGGAAGAUCAAGUCAGCGGUAAAAUUGAGAGGCUCAACCUCUUCGAGCCGUUGAAACUGGUUUUCUUGAGUGAGCGAGAAGUAUGCGGAAUGCGUGGUGUAGCGGUGAAAUGCAUAGAUAUCACGCAGAACUCCGAUUGCGAAGGCAGCAUACCGGCGCUCAACUGACGCUCAUGCACGAAAGUGUGGGUAUCGAACAGGAUUAGAUACCCUGGUAGUCCACACAGUAAACGAUGAA
rnacentral:rRNA from 1 species